CUACGGGUGGCUGCAGUGAGGAAUAUUGCACAAUGGGGGGAACCCUGAUGCAGCAACGCCGCGUGGAGGAUGACGCAUUUCGGUGUGUAAACUCCUUUUAUAUGUCAAGAAAAUGACGGUAGCAUAUGAAUAAGCACCGGCUAACUCCGUGCCAGCAGCCGCGGUAAUACGGAGGGUGCAAGCGUUACUCGGAAUCACGGGGCGUAAAGGACGCGUAGGCGGGUUGGAAAGUCAGGUGUGAAAUCCUACAGCUUAACUGUAGAACUGCACUUGAAACUUCUAAUCUAGAGUAUGGGAGAGGGAGAUGGAAUUAGUGGUGUAGGGGUAAAAUCCGUAGAUAUCACUAGGAAUACCUAAAGCGAAGGCGAUCUCCUGGAACAUUACUGACGCUAAGGCGUGAAAGCGUGGGGAGCAAACAGGAUUAGAUACCCGAGUAGUC
rnacentral:rRNA from 1 species